CUAAAGAUGGGAGCAACAUGGGAUCAAAUUUGCCUCAGAGACAAGAGACUUUGGGAGAGAUGACUUUGGAGCAGUUCUUGACCAGGGCAGGGGUCGUGAGAGAGGAUACUCAGCUAAUUGGAAGACCAAACAAUAGUGGAUUCUUUGAUGAAUUAUCGCGUCUAAAUAAUUGUAGUAAUAAUAAUAACAACACCAAUUCUGGUAUAGCUCUUGGGUUUCAGCAGCCAAAUCGAACCAAUGGACUCGUGGGGACACGAAUAGUGGAAAACAAUAAUAAUAUCGUUACUAGUCAGCCUGCAAAUUUAGCCCUGAAUGUAGGUGGAAUCAGAUCCUCUCAGCCACUACCUCAGC
rnacentral:misc_RNA from 1 species